CAAGAGCGUAUGUAAAAGUUGUUGCAGUUAAAAAGCUCGUAGUUGAACCUUGGGUUUGGUUGGCCGGUCCGAUUUUUUGCGAGUACUGGAUUCAACCGAGCCUUUCCUUCUGGCUAACCAGUCGUUUCGGCGGCUGGCGAACCAGGAUUUUUACUUUGAGAAAAUUAGAGUGUUCAAAGCAGGCAUUAGCUUGAAUAUAUUAGCAUGGAAUAAUAGAAUAGGACGUUAUGGUUCUAUUUUGUUGGUUUCUAGGACCAUCGUAAUGAUUAAUAGGGACGGUCGGGGGCAUCAGUAUUCAGUUGUCAGAGGUGAAAUUCUUGGAUUUACUGAAGACUAACUACUGCGAAAGCAUUUGCCAAGGACGUUUUCAUUAA
rnacentral:rRNA from 1 species